UACGGAGGGGACUAGCGUUGUUCGGAAUUACUGGGCGUAAAGCGCACGUAGGCGGAUUUGUAAGUCAGGGGUGAAAUCCCGGGGCUCAACCUCGGAACUGCCUUUGAUACUGCAAAUCUCGAGUCCGGAAGAGGUGAGUGGAAUUCCUAGUGUAGAGGUGAAAUGCGUAGAGAUCAUGAGGAAGACCAGUGGCGAAGGCGGGUCUCUGGACAGUUCCUGACACUGAGGCACGAAGGCCAGGGGAGCAAACGGG
rnacentral:rRNA from 1 species